rnacentral:rRNA from 1 species
CUGGCUCAGGAUGAACGCUAGCUACAGGCUUAACACAUGCAAGGUCAGGGGCAUCAGGGACUGUGCUUGCACAGUCUGCUGGCGACCGGCGCACGGGUGAGUAACGCGUAUCCAACCUGCCCUUCAGUAGGGAAUAGCCCGUAGAAAUGCGGAUUAAUGCCCUAUGUUGUCCCUUGAGAGCAUUUGAUCGGGACGAAAGAUUGAUCGCUGAGGGAUGGGGAUGCGUCUGAUUAGGCAGUCGGCGGGGUAACGGCCCACCGAGCCUUCGAUCAGUAGGGGUUCUGAGAGGAAGGUCCCCCACAUUGGAACUGAGACACGGUCCAAACUCCUACGGGAGGCAGCAGUGAGGAAUAUUGGUCAAUGGCCGCGAGGCUGAACCAGCCAAGUUAAGCGUGCAGGAUGACGGCCCUACGGGUUGUAAACUGCUUUUGGAGGGGAAUAAAGUGAGGCACGUGUGCCUUUUUGUAUGUACCCUCAGAAUAAGGACCGGCUAAUUCCGUGCCAGCCGCGGC